ACGAUUUGCUGCAGUUUUUAUGAGGUAUUUUUAGGGCGUUGUAAGGUUUCAAGUCUUUUACAUACGAGUACGCACAUGUGUAUACAUAGAAUAUCAACUGCCUCAAAGGGAGGUACUGAAUAUCUGCACACACACAUAAUUCUGUAAUAAACUUCCCUUUCAUAUGAGGCUGUACAUGUGUAGCAGUGAUUCAAAAACUAGUUUUGAGAGGGGGACUCAGCCUGGAUCCAAUUUCUGAAGACCUCAGUUACUUCAGGGUCAUCAGAAAAUUCCCUCCGACAGGACAUUUUAUAGACACCGGUUUCUCUUUUCUGUUACCUUAAGGAGGGAUUGGUUUUCGAGCAUAUAUUGUGUAAACAAAGCUUAUCUGCAUAGCUUUAAAGUAGCUAUGUGAUCCGCUUGUGACCAACCAGGCAAAGAAACCUAUUAAGCCCGCACCCUUGCAGAGCUUUGCCGACACAAGUGGGCGCGUUAAAGAUCUAUUUCUGAGCUCUGUGCCUGAAACGUACUCAAUUAAAAACUGCGGGACCAAUUCUAGUUCUGAAAUCGCCCUUCCAGCACUGCUUGCUUGGGGGAAUUAAAGCAGGAGGGGGGGAAAUAAUGUCAUCAGCCUGGAGAUCUUCAAGGAGCUCUAGGAUUGGAAAGAGAGAAGCAUUCUUAGGUUGCCUAGAGAUAAAUCUGCCGGUGAUAUCAUUCUCCAGGAGGCCGGCCUCCGCCUCGGUCCCCGCCUGGCUUUCCUUCCUCCCUUCCUCCGUCCCCCCUCCUCCCACGCCCGGGUUCAAAGUACAGCCGAGCCGGGUGAGGAAGCCGGAGCCGGACGCGGCGCUGUCACGUGCGGCCGCACAUGCCCCGGCGCACGCUGAGCGGCACGUGAGAGGGGGCGGGGCGGGGGCUGGGAGGCGCGGGCUCACAGCCUUCCGCGCGUGCGCCCUGGUCCCCCGCUCCCGCCUGUCCUAGACGCGGGCCCCAGGGAGCUGGUCGGCGGUCGGGUGGUGAGCACCCGGGCGAGGGCCGAGGGCCUGCAGCCGAGGGGAGGGGCAGGGCGGGCCGGCGGGGGACGGGGACGCGCCCUCCCGACAGCUGCGCCGCGCCCUGCCCCGCCGAGUCCUAGCGGGCCGGCCUUAGGUAGUCAUUCCUCCCGAAUUAAAGCUGGCUCUGACUCCAGGCUCCUCGAACCUUUCUGACACAGCAGUUUCCGAGCAGCCCUCCCGGCGUGGGUUAGAGGAAGGUCGACAGCCGCCCUGGAGGGCCUUGGGGUUGGAACUUCUGGCCCGGGCCGGCUGCGGCCGGGGGAAGUGACAGGCUGGGGAAUGGAAGGGUGACACACUGCGACACACUCAGCGGCUCCGGGGCCGACCGGGGCACGUAGUGCAGGAGAACUCCUCCCCCCCCCCCCCCGCCUUGGGUGGGGGUGGGAAGAAGUGUGGAAGUACUCGCCGGUGGAGACAUCGCAGCUUUCAUUGCUCUCAAGUUUUGCAAAAUGAAUUCUCACUAAGCAAUCUGGGGUUUAUUAAAUUGUGAUAAAAUGUAUUUGGACUUUACGUGCAAAGUAAAAAGCGAUUUUUAUGGCACUCGUGGAUUGUGCGCUGUGUAGUAAAGUGAGAAGUUAAUGUAGUCCGGGGCUGAGGGGUGGGUUUUUUUGUUGUUGUUGCUGUUAAAGUUAUGUUUUUAAAAAAUACGUAGAAACACGUUCUCUUAGGAAAAAUGAUCAAGUCUCACACUUUCACAUUUUGAGAUGAUCAGUUACUUGAUUUUUGUAACACGUCUGGAAACGUGCAUGUUUAUAAAGGAUCUAAAAUGAAUAACUGUUUUUGGAGGAAUUUGGAUUUGUCUCUUCCCUUUAGAUGACCGAGUACACGAUGCAGUAUUACAAAGGUAAGGAAGCACGAAUACCCCCUGCAAAUGUGGUUUUGGUCAUGUGAUGGAAAGCGUUGCCAGUAACAUUUGGACAAGUCAGGUGCCAGUAUUUGCUAAGACAUCUUAGAGUGGUUGUAAACUCUCCAGUGUAAAGGGCACAGCGAGUGCCACCCUGGAGACAGACUGCUGUAAGCUAACAGACAUUCACAAAGCACAAAAGGAAUUCAUUGUUUGUUGUUUGCCUUGUAAUGAUGUAUAUGCAUAAGGUCUUAUGGGUUGAGUUUGAGUAACACUCCCCUAUGACCCAGACUGUUUGCACCAGACAGCUUAGUUAUUAAAAAUACUCUGAAAGUUGAAAAAGCAAAGAUAGAUUUCAAACAUUCGCUCAACAAACAUAUAUUGAGCUCUUAUUAUGGACCAGACAUGGGGGAUACAACAAGUGACCCAUACAGACUAAUUCAUCAGCCGUCGUGGUGCUCAAAACUUCAAUAAAGCCUCACAAGUUCUCAGAUAUUUGCCAACUAGUUAUUAAUUAUGACAACAGCAAUCAUAUCCCUCUGCCCUAAAUUUUUUUUUUUUUUCAGUUGGUGCUUAUGAAGAUGUCAGAAAAAAGGCAUCUGUUCCCAUCCCUUCCUGUCUUCCUCUCUCCCUUCCCUCACUUCUCUGGAGCCAUACUAGCCUCCCUGCUGCUCUUCCAACCAGACAAGCUUGAUCCUUUCCCAGAAUAUUUGCACUUGUUUAUCCAUCUGCUUGUGACAUGCAGCCCCCAGAUGGGGGAUAGCUGAUUCCAGUCACACCCCACCUUUUUUUUAGAUCUCUGCUCAAAUGCCACUUCUUCAGAGAGGCCCUCCCUGAGCAACCCGAAGGCAAUAUAUAAAAUGCCACCCAUCCAUCAUUCUUUAUUUUCGCUCUGUUUUUUUUUCCUGUAGCAAGUAUCACCCUUAACAUCUUCUGUGUAUACUGAUGUAUAUGAAUACACAGACAUACAAAUAAUUUGUUUACUGCUUAUCUCUCUUGUUAGGAGGAACAGGGACUUUGUUUUGCUCAUUGCUGUUUGUCUAAUGCCAAGAAUGGUAACUUGCAAUAAAUAAAUAUUUAUAUAUUUGCCUUUUAAAAAUAAACAGGUAUUGAUCCCCAAUAAAUAUUUGCUGAAUGAAUGAAUGAACAUUCCUGGCAAGCAUUUCAGCUUGAUUACCUUACCAAAGACAACAGAACACGGCCUCUCAGAGCAUCCCCUUCCAUGUUUUAACUUCCUCAACACUGGGUAAGCACCUGCUGUUUUCCAGGCACUGUGUAACACAGAGAUAUCAACAAGGGGUAAGAAGUCAAAGGCAGUUAACAUCUGGUACCUGCAAAUGGAAAAAGAUUCAGAAUGAUUUGGAAGCUGAUUGAAUUUUAUUGUUGCAAUUAAAUCAUAGAUAUGGUAUUUAAGCAUUAAUAGAAUUCCCAUAACAAUAGAGUUAAUAUCAAUUUCACCUUAGUCCAAAUGAUUACAGAUUAUGUUAAAAGAAAUUGUUCACUUAACUGAAAUAACUUCUUUGAGAAUUAAAAUUAGUCUGAUAAUUUCCCCAUCCCCUGAGAUAGUAAGAAAAAGCUGCAGUAACCCUGUAGAAGAAGUAAGUUUCCAAAAAGAUUGCAUCUCAGCUUUCAGAUGGCAACUGAACCUGGGUGGAAAUGUGUGGGACCCUCUGAAUUCAACCCAUGAUGGAAUACACAUCGCAUCUCACAAGGGUUGGAAAGUCCCAGGUGCUUCUGCACUUCACUGGCUCUCCAGAUGUGAUAACCCUUAUACCUUGGUCAGUGAACUUCUUCAAGGCAAAAGCCUAUAUCUAUUUAUCAGUGUAUGCUCAGCACCUAGCACAAUGCCUGGCACACAGUAAGCACUCAAUAAACAACUGUUGAAAUCCAAGCUCUGUUCUCCGUUCCCACAAUCAUUGUUCCAGUUCCAAGCUUUAUCAUCUCUCACCUGGAUUAUUGCAAGAACCUGCUCAAUGGCCUUUGUCCAGACUUUCUUUCCCCAUACACUGGCCACUCUGCUGGCUCAGUUAGCUUUUUAAACACCAAUAGUGCACUAAAGAAUAGUCGGGGACAACCCAUCACAUGAAGGCAUGAAAGCUUAAGCUUCCCUCCUAGUUUCACUUCCUUUUACCCUUCUCCUAUUGCCCUCAGCCAGAUGAUGGGUGUCGACAGACUGCCCUAAUUGCACUGAACUACAUGUUCACUCCUUUGCUUUAUGUUCUUAGCCCUUUCUUUAAAUCUCCACUUGGCUGUUUCAAACCUCACUCCACAAACGUGUGUGCAAGAAAUGAUGUCCUUAUUUCUCUCAUUUAGUCUAACUUCAAGCCACCUCCCCAAGGGCUGAUGGGAAAUGACUUCAGUCGUGGGCUGUCCCACGUCCACCCUCCUCAGGAUUUCGCAAGAACCUGGGGUGCCAGAAUAACAGGGAAAGGAGCUCUUCGUACUCAGAUUGUCAAUGGUCAGUGUCUGAGCCUGUCACUUUCUGGGUAGGAGUCUUUACUGAAGGAGAAGAAAAGAAAAUGGAAAAAUGCAAUGAGAACAGACAUCAGUAGUGUCUCAGUAAACUACCCGGUCACGCUUGGGCUCUUCACAUUGUGUUGUAAUUAACUGGGUGUGUCUCCCACACCUGGGCACCCACAACACUGCUGCUACUCAAAUUGGCACCACCUCCAGCAUUGCUUGGCCCUCACUUCUGUGACUGUUUACUUGGUGUUAUUCUUUCUGCGGUUUCUUCUCCCAGACCUCUCUCCCACUUACUUUAAGACCUCUGCUUAUCUCCUCCAUUUCAGGAAAACCCCUACUUCAUCAGGAGAAUUCAAAACAUUGGGCAUCACCUCCCUAACUCUCAGCCCUUCCUACCUGCCUCCUCCCACACCCUGGCUUCCCUUCCCACUGUUGCCGAGGGAAAAGUGGCCCUCCAUUCGUGCCACUGAUAAUCGAUGGAAAUCCACCGUCCUGUCUGCGCACCUAACUAAAUGAAUUUCAAAGAAGAGAAUCAGAUGGACAUCCAGGAAGAAGAAACAAGCCACCCCAAAGGGGAAAAAGAGGCUCGUCUUCAGCUGGAGACUUGACAGUGAAAAUGGUACUCACCUUGCCAGUCUGCUCUGGGUUUCUAAAAGAGAGACAGAGGUGUGGAAUAGAAGACCAGGGGAAGCCUUGUGAUACUGGACCAGAAUUAGAGGUAUUAGUAUGAUGAUAUUUAUAUGAACUGCAUAGCUCCUGCCUGUUGGGGGCCCUGCCUUGAAGACUCCAGCUGCCCCCACCUCUGAUCUCCUCCUCCUUAGCUCAGAGGGACUGCCGUUCUCUGCUUGGAUUCCAGAUUGCUACACUGCAGUCAGGAAAUUUUCCCCAGGCAGAGAGCCAGGAUGUCAUGAGGCUCACCUCUUAGGUUUCCCUGCCUUCUGGGAUUGAUUGCAGGCUUGCGUUGCUUACUCUGUGCUGUGUUGCUGCUUCUCCGAUGUCUGAAAACACUUGCCUUAGACAUUCUCUGUAGUUUUAUAGUUAGGAGUACCAGAUCCUCCAUUAUAGACAAAAGCAGAAAUGCUGAGCUAUAUAUUUGAUAACAGUGUUAUACUAAUGUUAAAGGCCCUGAAAUUGAUCAUCACAGCGUGGUUAUAAAAGAACUCCUUAUUCUUAGGAUAUACAUGCCAGAGGACUUGAGGUAAAGUUGUCUACAACUUACUCUGAAAUGGUUUGGUCAAAAUAAUAAUAUUGCUACAUUGCAAAUAGUAAUAUUACAUAGAUUUGUAGAGAGAGCAAGAGAGAGAUUGAUAAAAUAUGUAUGAAAAAUGCUGUUGGGGCAAGUCUAGAUGAAGCAUCACACUAUUUUUGUUAACUUUUGUAGACGUUUGAAAUGUUUUUAAAAGAAAUAAUAAACAAAACAUUUCCUUGAGUAGAGACUGGGCUUAGAAGUCACAUCCGAAGUUAGUAUGGAAAGAAAAAAUAGUAACUUUAUUGUGAAGAAACCUGGCAACACCUCCUUAACUAAUUUGUCAGGAUUAACAUCACCAGUUGUAAGGCAUGUUGAUGCCAUGUACACUGCUGAUAGUAGGUGAUGAGCAGAUUUUCUUACUCAAAAUGUAUAUAUAACCUAAAUUAAAAACUAAUGGGGAUCCUUAAAUACACUUUUCCUUAAAUACCUUUUCAAAUUGGGUAAAUAUUAGUCAUUUCAUUUAUGUCUACCUAAUUUAAGUAGCCUCUGUCUCUAGAGAUAUGAUGGUGAUAUGUGUGUAUUUAUCAACUUUAUUCUAAUUUUUAAAAAAAUUCUAUGGGAGUUCCCUUCAUGGCUCAGGGGUUAACGAUCCGGAUUAGGAUCUA